rnacentral:tRNA from 1 species
AGGGUCUUAGCAUAAUGGUAAUGCAUAUGACUUUUAAUCAUUCUGAUUUGAGUUCAACUCUCGAAGGCCCUA